UUUGCUCAACCAAAACCCAAGCCUCCAUUCCCCUUCUACUCGCAGCCUUCAGACACAGCAAACCCUAGCCUCCCUUCCCAUCUACUCGUCUAUCAAGAAGCUGCUACCAAUUUUCAUCGUUGCAGGCGACAAUGAUCUACGACGUCAACUCUCCGUUGUUUCGCUCCUUCCUUAGCCAGAAAGGAGGCUCAUCUGAUAAGAGGUCAACAUGAAGUUUUUGCCUCGGGCUCAAUUAAGGACUUGAUAGCACAUCCGGAGCAUCGAUACCCUAUAUCGGGUUCAUCACUUCUUGCAACUAUGGAUGAAAAGCACUCAACUCUCUUCUUGUGAUCUUGACAAAGAACAAACUGAUACAUCACAACUGAAGUUAAAUGGACACAUGGACUUGGUAUUACGGCAGAGAUGCUUGGUUAGCUCACUAGUGGCCUUGAAUUCGCUUGGAACAAACUCAAGGGCGAAGGUCUUUCUUCUAUCUUUAAUGUCUUUUUUUAUUGUUGUUUUAAUGGUCUUAAUUUGAUUGUUUUUGUUUGUUAACGAUGAAUAUAUUAGUUAGGUUUUAUUGUUAUUAUUGUCUUGUAUUAUAUAUAAUUUAUUAGUUAGGGUUUAUUGUAAUUAUUUCGAUAGUAAUUAGGAGAUUGACUUGAUUAGGUUUCGUAAAUGGGUUAAAAGAUCCAAUUUGUGUGCCGGUUAAGGUUGCUGGUAAAUGAGUAUAUUGUGUGUAAAUGACAUAUGAAGUCAUUUAAAUUCGAAUUUUUGUUAAUUUGAGAUCAUAAAAUGAUUAUACUGUGUGGGGUUAUAAUCCUUGCCUUUUCGUUUUGCAAUUGGUAUACCUGAUGCUCCGGUCAAUGUUGGUGACGAGACAAACAAAGAUAAAAGGAGUUACGAAGAUCAUCAAGUUAUAUUUCAAGGAAAAAAUCUUAGUUCCAGUUGGUCCUAGCUUAGGGGCUCGGUAUCCAUUUCGAGAUAAAUCCUAACUUUAAGUUGAAAUUAUUGUUAUCACUUUGACACCAUUGGUGGUGACUGAACAGAGGGUUUGUGAUUUAUAUAUUUUUUAGCUUAAAAUAUCCAAAUUUUAAUAAAAUUGCUUAAUGUAUUUUUGGAAAACCUUUUUAAUUGUAAAUGUUUUUUUGUUUAUAAGACGGUGUUAAAAAAUAUUUGUUUUAAUUAAUAUUUGAAAUGUUUUGAUAUUAAAAGACGGUGUUCAUCAAGUUUAAGCCGGUGUUAAAAUUGAACACCGUCUAAUAAGACUUGAUUUUAAACCGGUGUACUUUAAGACGGUGUUGAAAACACCGUCUUAAAACCCAUAUCACCCCGUCUAAAGAUCUGUUUUGUAGUAGUGAGAUCUAAAUAUGUUGAUAUUAGUUGGAAUAGGUGGUGUGAGUUUAAUAUUCGUGAUAUAAUCCUGUAACUUUCAAGGUUCCAGUUGUAUGUUGACCUGGUUUUCUAUAUAUUUUACAGAAGUUUUGCCGUCCAAAAAGAAAUUAUCUUAAAAAUCUAAUAUAAAGAUAAAAGCACUUGAUAAUAAGAAAAAUAGAUGAGAAGAAAAAAGAGGUCGAACAUGUGUUAUCAUCAUUUAUUAUGAUCUUGAAGGAUUAAGUAGACAUAAUAAGUAAACAUAUACUUCAUAAGUGUGCACAUGUAUAAAAAGAGAUUUUAACGAAAGCAACUCAUG
rnacentral:lncRNA from 1 species